rnacentral:rRNA from 1 species
UACAGAGGAGCCAAGCGUUGUCCGGAUUGACUGGGCGUAAAGCGCACGCAGGCGGCACCGUGCGUGGGGUGUGAAAUCUGGCCGCUUAACGGCCAGGCGCCAUCCCAUACGGCGGAGCUGGAGUGAUGCAGAGGUCGAUGGAAUUGCCGGUGUAGUGGUGAAAUGCGUAGAUAUCGGGAGGAACACCAGUGGCGAAGGCGACUACCUGGCCUGUUCUUGACGCUGAGGCGCGAAAGCUAGGGGAGCAAACGGG